CCAAUAGCGUAUAUUAAAGUUGUUGCAGUUAAAAAGCUCGUAGUUGAAUUUCGGGGUCAGUAGGCUGGUCGUGCCACAGGUAUGUACUGGUCUUACUGAUUCCUCCCUCCUGAUGAACCGUAAUGCCAUUAAUUUGGUGUUGCGGGGAAUCUGGACUGUUACUUUGAAAAAAUUAGAGUGUUUAAAGCAGGCUACCGCUUGAAUACAUUAGCAUGGAAUAAUGAAAUAGGACGAUCGAUCCUAUUUUGUUGGUUUCUAGGAUUGACGUAAUGAUUAAUAGGGAUAGUUGGGGGCAUUGGUAUUCAAUUGUCAGAGGUGAAAUUCUUGGAUUUAUUGAAGACUAACUACUGCGAAAGCAUUUGCCAAGGAUGUUUUCAGUAAUCAAGAACGAAAGUUAGGGGAUCGAAGACGAGCAGAUACCGUCGUAGUCUUAACCAUAAACUAUGCCGACUAGGGAUCGGAUGAUGUUAAUUUUUUAAUGACUCAUUCGGCGCCUUACG
rnacentral:rRNA from 1 species